GACGAACGCUGGCGGCGUGCUUAACACAUGCAAGUCGAACGGAAAGGCCCUGCUUUUGUGGGGUGCUCGAGUGGCGAACGGGUGAGUAACACGUGAGUAACCUGCCCUUGACUUUGGGAUAACUUCAGGAAACUGGGGCUAAUACCGGAUAGGAGCUCCUGCUGCAUGGUGGGGGUUGGAAAGUUUCGGCGGUUGGGGAUGGACUCGCGGCUUAUCAGCUUGUUGGUGGGGUAGUGGCUUACCAAGGCUUUGACGGGUAGCCGGCCUGAGAGGGUGACCGGCCAAAUUGGGACUGAGAUACGGCACAGACUCCUACGGGAGGCAGCAGUGGGGAAGAUUGCACAAUGGGCGGAAGCCUGAUGCAGCAACGCCGCGUGCGGGAUGACGGCCUUCGGGUUGUAAACCGCUUUCGCCUGUGACGAAGCGUGAGUGACGGUAAUGGGUAAAGAAGCACCGGCUAACUACGUG
rnacentral:rRNA from 1 species